rnacentral:rRNA from 1 species
AUACGGAGGGUCCAAGCGUUAUCCGGAUUCAUUGGGUUUAAAGGGUCCGUAGGCGGGUUUGUAAGUCAGUGGUGAAAGUUUUCGGCUCAACCGGAAAAUUGCCAUUGAUACUGCAAGUCUUGAAUCAUUAUGAAGUGGUUAGAAUGUGUAGUGUAGCGGUGAAAUGCAUAGAUAUUACACAGAAUACCGAUUGCGAAGGCAGAUCACUAAUAAUGUAUUGACGCUAAGGGACGAAAGCGUGGGUAGCGAACAGGAUUAGAUACCCUAGUAGUCC